rnacentral:lncRNA from 1 species
AUAAGUAAUUCUUGCUGAAUCGGUACAAAUUUUUGUUUUGAUUUUAGUAAAGGUAAAAAAUUUGCAUUUACCAUUAGGUCGAGUGAAUAGAUGGAUAGAGUACUAAGCUCAAAUUUAAGGAAAACAAAAAGCAACAACUUAUAUUCUUAAUUUGAAUGAUUACCUGACCUAAUUAGAUGUUAAAAAUGAAUUAGUGCCUGAUUCGGUAAAGGAUUCCUUUUUGAGUGAAUUAUCUUUUUUUUGAAUCCUAACUAUUUUUCCUUUUAUAGAAUGGAGAUAGAUAUGUAAAAGAAACAGUAUAUUGAUAAAUAGAAUAGAUUCCCAAGUCAAAAGAGUGAUCGGGUUGCAAAAAUAAAGGAUUUCUCUUUUCUAAUUUUANN